CAAUAUUGCCCCCUGCAGUUUGGUCACUCUGGACCGAGGCCUUGAGGGGUGCCUGUUGGGGGACAGGGAGCUCGGCACAAUCCAGGCAUGCAGAGGAGCGAAGCUGGGGGGACCCUGGGCCUGUGAGCAGGGCAGCCCGACCCUGGGGAGAGGGGCGGCCGAGUCCUCAGGAGAAGGGACCCCUCUGGGCCAGCCUGGACUGCAGACCCAAGCAGGCAGAGUGUGUGGCUGAGGUCAGCGGUCGCCCAGCCAGGGUGACUGAGCUGUGCCAGGGGCCCUGUCCUCCGCCUGACCCUGGUCCCUACCCAGCACACCUGUUGGAGCCGCACAAAGGGGGAUGAUUCCGGAGCAGCGGCUGCUGUCAGACAGGCAGACUCCUGGCGAGCCUGGCUCACACGGCCUCAGACCUGCCCGAGAGCAACUCACCGCCUUGCCUGCUGACACAGAUUCCAACCAGGCUCCUCAGCCCCCCUGCUAAAUGACCUGGAGAAGGUCCCUGCCCCUCUCUGGGCCUUGGUUUCCCCCUCCGUAAGAUGGGCUUGAUUCCACCUGCCUCAGAGGGAUGCUGUGAGGGGGACAGACCAGCCCACGUGGAAAGCAACUGGUAGACAGCAGAUACUCAGUAGGUGUGUAGGCCUUCCCUCCACCUCCCUGCCUUGAAGAUGGGGCCAUCCUGGCUCCACCAGCAGCAUCCCCUCAGAGAGCAGUGUGACCCAUCCCAAGCGCAAAGUUAGAGGCCUCCGGGGUGAGGAUCCAGUCGGCACUCAUUCAUUGGCUCACUCAGCACGCCUUUACUGAGCAUCUGUUGUGUGCUAAGGGCUGUUGAUUAAAUUCUCAUACACUUCCUGGACUUGAUGGUCUGAGCUUUACAGAUGAGACAAUGGGCUCAGAGAGGUGCAGUGACUGGACCAGGAUCACACAGGAGAGGGACAGGAUAGGGAUUCUCGGCCAGCCAGGUCUGACUCCCAAGCCCACAGCACUUCCAGGGUGCGCUGAGCCCUUGCUUAGGAGCCGGGCAGGGGUCGCCCCCACUCCCGGGAGCCUCGUGUCUCGGCUGAAAGUGUUACUGUGCCAGGUUCAUUUUUGCCCGCCACCCAGAAAGGCAAACCUCGAGACGACGAGAUUGCAGCAGAGAAGGUGUUUACUCACAAGGCAGCCAUGAGAGGAAGCGAGAGCAUGAGCCUCAAAUU